GUGAUAUUUGUAAUCAAAACACAGCCCAACCAUCAUUUCAUUCCGUGUGUUUAUUUGUGUUCAUAGAACUAACAUUGCUCAUGUUCAAUAAUCACUACAGUUGAUAAUCACGAACUCGUUUCGCGUAAAAUAAGUCCUCUAUGAAUAAUGUGUAUAUGUAUUUAUGUCAGUAAAAUGGUUUGCCCAAGUUAACAUACUCGUUUUGGUUCCAAGCGAAAACAUCCCCAGGGCCUCCUGAAAAAUGACUUUUCUGUAUCUAUUAAUAAGCAACACAGAAGUUUUACAGCAAUUGCCCAUCAACGCACGUCACAGGUUUUUGAUAUGGGUAACAUUAUCAUGAGGGUUCGGCCACUUAGUGGUAACACUUCUAUAGGGACAUCCACAUACCACAUGGAACAGCAAUGGACACGAAUCGAAACAGCUUUCUUUCACAAUUAUAAAAGGCAUCUUAAAGUUUUAUUCGAUAUCUCCACACCUCCGGGUGCAAAAUAUUUCAUUGUGCGAUGGGUUGGUCCUUGCUGUAGGUUUCUUAUUUGGUGCGUUUUUCUUUUCGACAAAUCUUCAAAAGAUUUUCAUAAGAUGGUUCCCGAGAAACACUCAUGUCUUACAUAGAUAUAUGUUACACUUACAUAACCAAGUUUGGUAAUAUUAUAGAAGUAAUAUAAAUACAAGUUGCAAGGGAUUAAAGGCUGAAGGAAUGAUUUCGCCAGAACCAAGAUUGAUUUUUUCGUGAUUAUGAUCGCAUCGAUAUGCCAAAAACAAGCUUAUUCUGCACAUUUCACAUACACAAUGGUAACAACAAGCAGCUGCAAAAACAUAUGUACAUAACAGUCGUGACGCGGCUUUCAAGCAAUAAUGAAUUCGCGUUUUUUCUUCUUUCAAUGUAACAGGUAUAUUCGUUAAAAUAUGUUCAGUUGUGUCAUAUUAUUGUGCUAUUGUUUUAUUUUUUGUAUUUCUUGUUUGAACAGCUACCGACAAUUUGUAUAACACGUAAGCUCACUAACACAUUGAUACUGGCGUUGUUGGCUCGGUAGCUGAGAAUGUCCCAGCCGCAAAUUUCACUCAAAUAGGCGUAUUGUUUCUCAAGCAGGUGCAUUUCAUGAUUAAGUAGUGUUUGUGAUCGAGGAGGUUUUAAUUAAUUCUGAAAAAUGUUCUAUGGCAACUUGCCAUCAAUAAAAAAAAUACAAAGUUAUAAACAAAAGAUUUCGAUGGUUAACUGUAUGUGAAUGAUGAGUGUAGUACCCCUAGGGGAAAGCCGGUUAUUGUCUCUAACUUUGCUAGUUCCUGUUCGAAGAUUGUUGAGCUGUUAAAUGUGGCAUGACUUCAGACAGUUGUUUAGUUUUCCAAUCGAUGUUUGAAGUUGUGUGUAAAAUAUGUGCAAACCUUGGCGUGAUUAUUACUUCAACUGCUUUCGAGAUAGAGCAUUAACGAAUUAAUGUUAAGCGUUUCGUAACAUUUAUAUAAGCCCAUUGAGAUGAUUGUCCUUAUUUAUGAUAACAAUUUGAGAUGAAAUUAGGCAGAAUAUAAAACCCCUUUUUUUAAAUGCUGUAACAAACGAUGCUCAUGCCUUAAAAAAUAUCGUCGUUUCAUUUAUCGCUUUUAGUUACGGAAAGCUGCAAGUUAUAUUUAUUCUUGAAAAAUCUCUUCCAUUGUACUGCAGAAACUAUUUCAAAAUUUGAACCACCGACAAUUAUUAUCUCUUACUAUCAGGUAAACCCCUCAUUAAUUAAUGUCUGGAAGAAAUAAAGCAACUUGAUCUGCUCAUCUAACAAGCAAGUGAUGCCCCAUUUGAAUCCCGAUGGAUGUUCUUCUCUCGAAAGCAGCUGCUCGUGACAGACUAUUAAAUUUUGUGUUUAUCCUUGGCUUGUCCCCUGUCUGUAGUGGUUGGUACCAGUUUUCCAAGCUCCAAACGAAUCCUUUCGCUUUUGUCUGAUGGCACCGCUGCCAUACUGGUCCGAGCCGAGGAAUGACGGUGCCAUUGCGUGUAGACUUUGAACUUAAUUUGGUUUCCCCCUCUUCUGUCCUGCCCUGAACAGUCCCAUCAUACCCAAACAUCAGGCACCCACUAAGAUUGAUGGCAUGCUCGAAAUCCUUCCCAAAGGAGGUUCGUUUGGAAUGGCCAACAGUCCGAAGCAUUCGAACUAAAGCUACAAACAUACACACUUACACAAACAUUGACACAGUCAGUUGGCGUGGCUUAUAACGAUGCUCCGAAUUACAAGACUCACGUCUUAUCUCUAUUGUUCCUAAUCUUAACUGGGUAGUUUUCCGUUUCUUCGCUCUCCCACCCUUAUGGCUUCUAGCGCUGUGAUGAGCUUCGUCUUCAAUUAGUAGUAAAAAACAUGGACACGACAAAAAAUGGUCAACGUGGUUCGCAAUUUUAGUAAGGUACACCGGGGCAAGAUGGAACGCGAAGUUUUGAAAUAGGUUUCAAUACAACUUGGAAAUUUAUCCUUCGCUACUUGAAUCAAAAACUAUGUGUUAUGGCAAUCAAAUGGUUUAUCAUCAUUACAAAACAUCAUGUGAGCCCUGUUUCAUCUUGCCCCACCCGUUUCAACUUGCCCCGGUAUACCUUAUUUUCACAAUUUGUUCAAAUGGGCUUAAACCUGUUAACAGCUACAUAAGAUUAUAAAGCCUGUAUCCGCAAUAAUCGGGACACAGAAAUACAGCUGUAAAUCUGUAAUAGAUACAUUAAAAUUGCUCAAAUUUGGCCUAAUAAUAUCUUAAGAUGCGUUCAUUUCAACAACAAAAUUUCAUGUGAAUUGGUGCAGUACUUUUUGUUUUAGCAAUAAACGAAUAAAAUGUGCCCCAAUGAAUUCGGUACAGCCCCUAGUUUUGCUUGUCAGCGCUGCAACUUUUGAUUUUGGCAAAGGAAAUGCACUACCUUCUGUGAAAAUUUCAUGAAAAUUGGCAGAGAAAUUCAAAAUUUAUGAAUAGGCAAACAUCGCACAUGAAAAACACGAACAUUUUUCACUAACACUCACCCCUAUCAACACCAGUAGCUUUCAAACCAGUUGAUUAAAGUUGAUGAAAUUUUGCAAGAAAGUGUCUCUAUAAGUGUCACAACUGCUAACGAAAUUUCAUAAUUAUCAUCACAGAGCUUUGAACUGUAGCGUAAAAGAACUAUCUACUAUGAGAAUGAAAUUGGUCAUGAUUGCACAAAAUGCUUAAAACCACGUCUGUUUGUUUUUCAUCCACAAUUAAAAGUAAUGCAUCGAUUUUUAUGAAAUUUGGUACAUAUAAUAAACAUACACCGAAGAGUUCUCAGUCAAUUAUUUGGCCUAUUUUACCGAUUCAUUACAGAGCUACAGCCGUACUUCUGUGUCCCGAUUAUUGCGGAUACAGGCUUUAAUGUGUGAACAUAUUGGGUUUCUUCAAUUUCGGUGUAGUUUACAUGCAAAUUGCAUAUACUGCCAAACACUGGAAGUACUAACGAUGAUGUUGAUUGUCAUGGCAAAAUCAGAGCUGGUUAUUUAAAACUUAUAGCGCCCCUAUACUGGUACGUCCCCAUGGAUAUGACAUCAAAAUGGCGCUUAAUUACGAAUUAUUCCGGGAAAUCCCUUCAAUAAGUUAUCCCUCACAACUGAGGGGGUUAAGGGGUGUAAGUGCCAAAAACCUACUUUCGAGUAAAUGUGGUUUAAAGUUUUCCCCAAUUUUUACUCCAUAGAAAAUGUAUGGAGUUCAAAAAUCAACCCAGUUCUCUCCGAUUUAUUGUAGUUUUUCUAAUCAUCUUUAAAAUAAUCUUGCAAAAGUUCCUAAGUGCUUAAAAUCUGAAGAAGUUUUUGAUAUUCUCAGCUCAAAAUCGACAAAACUGUCACUUACACCCCUUUGCAUCUGGGUCCUCAAUUAUUUUUACUAUAAUUAUUGUGGAGGGCACACUUACCGGUUUUUUUUUUCAUAAACUUAAGUUCAGCUGGAAGGCUUCUUGAGAUACAUCGGUGAAUUUUUCAAAUUAUAUUAUUCUCAUGUACCUACUUCCAAGCCUAUGCACAAGGAAGCGAUUUUGGGCCAAAACAAACUUUCCCUUUUCGCCUUUUCUGUGCACGGGCCUGCCUACUUCUAUAGAUUUUUCACCAGGACUGCCUCUAGUAAAACCGUCAGGAAUUUCUUCAAUGAUUCUCUCAGAAUUUAUCUAUAUGCAGGAUUUUCUACAAUAUUUCGGCAUGAAUAAAAAUUCUCAAAAAUUCCUCUAGGUAUCUCUUAAGAAUGCAUUCCUGUACUUUUUUUUUCUACAGAGAUUUCUAGACAUUUUGUUGUGUUUUCUUAAUAAAAAAUUUCUCGAAUGCUUCAUCUUGGAACUCACUCACUUAUGGAAAUUGCUUCAAGGAUCUUGGUUUUUCAUAGAGACUCCAAGAUUCUUUCAGAAAUUCCUUUAGGGUUCUCCUUCAUAAAAUCAGAACUGUUUCGGAAGUUAUUAUUGGGAUUCCUCUAUAGAUGCCUUUGGAUGGCAAGAGACGAACCAGCCAAGGGCUGAAAGUCUCUUUAAUAAAGACAAAUCAAUCAAUCAAUCAAUUUGGAUGGCACUCCAAAUAUUAAAGAAUUCUCUGAGACAUUUGUUUGAAAAUUCCUCUAGAAUUUUCCCGACCGGAACGAGAAUCAAACUUGCCGUCUGCGGAUUGGCGAUCCAUAGCUUUAACCACUAGGCUAACUGGAGACCUCAAAUUACUAUGAUGUUGGAUAUUUUUCUUCCACUCUCCCAACUAUUACAAAUUCUGCAAAGUGAUCAAAGGAUUCCCUUCUAGAAAUAUUGCAUGAAUUCCUUACAAAAAUUUCCUCUAGAUUUUUCUUUCACAGGAUCCUUCAGAAACUUUUCCAAGAAAUCUUAUAGAAAUGCUUCCAUAGGAUUCCUCAAAAAUUUCCUCAUAAACUCCUUCAGAAAUCCGUACGUUUAUUUUACAGAAAAUCACGGACACAUGAAAUACACGGCUUAUUCUAGAAAACUUACAACAAUUCAUUAAAGGAAACCAAAGUUCAGUUUGGAGUGUUGUUUGAGAAAGCUUUCUACAGAUUUCUUUAGAAAUUAUUCCAAAAUUUUUGUUCAGUCAGAUUUCGAUGAGUUCCUUAUGAAACGUUUAGAAAAUGCUUCGGAAAUUUAUCCAGCGAUUCCUCAGAAUUUUCCACAUGAUUCAAAGAUUCAUUCAUAUUUUUUCCUAGUGGUAUCCUUAGACAAUUUUUCAGAGAUUCCUCCACAGCUGAGACGCAGGACAUAAAGGAAUAAAAAGUUUGAAAAAAUGUUUAAGUUUUUUCAAGAGAGCAAAAAAUUUGUUCCGAAAACGGGCUGACAAAAUCGGGUCACUUAUGUAUAUAUAUAGAAGAAGAAGAUAGAUUCCUUUUCAAAAAUGUCAAGUUUUUUUUAAGAGAUCUUUACAGAAGCUUGUCAAGACGUUUUUUCAAGUAUUUCAACUAGAAUUCUUUCAGAGGAACGUUCAAGAUUUGCUCCAGGAAUACUAUCAGCAAAUUCUUCAAAUCUCGAAGAAAUAAACUUGAAAAUUCUUCGAAAAAUUAUAUAGAGGAUUUCUCGUAGCAAAAUUCCUUAAUAAACAUUUCUAGGAAUACUCAUCGGGAAACCCAGGGAUUCCUUUAUAAAUUCUUGGGAUUUAUUUAGACAUCACUCUGGAGAUUCAUUUGAACAUAGUUCCUGAGAUUCCUACUUGGAUUGAUUCUACUGGAGAAUUUUCCAAAAAUGCCUGAAUGAUUUUGUCAGAAACUCCUUCAGGAUUGUUUUCAGAAAUUGCUGCUCGAAUUCGUUUCAAAAUUUCUUCUGAGAUGCCUUCAAAGUUACAUACUGAGAAUUUUUCUGGAUUUUGGGGAUAUCUUAAGGACAUUCAGCAAGGGAUUUUUUUAGAAAUAUAUCUAAAAAUUUAUUUUAAAAUUCAACAAUUUCUUCUGAGGGUUCCUUCAAAAAACUAUAUUGAAAAAUUCCUUGGCGGAAUCCUGCAGCAAUACCCACCAGGAGAUUUUUAGUAAAUAAUACCCCAGAGUUAUAAUAAAUAUUUCCUGGAAUUCGUUUAAAGAUUCCUACGGGAGUUUUCACAGUAGUGCUUCCAGAUAGAGCACUAAAAUACAGGAAGUAUUGUUGAAAGAAUUCUUGCAAACAUUUCUUAGAAAAUGCCUGGAGGGUUGACUGGAGGAAUGUUUUAAAAACUUCUGGUGAUACAUUUGGAGAUUCCUAGAAAAAAAUUGUCUGUUGUGAUUCCAGAAAAAAAAACUUCCUGAGGCAGUUUCUGAUAGAAUUUCUGGAUAAAUGCCAGUGAGAAUACUCAAGGAAUCUCCUUAAGACGCCUCCAUAAUUUACUAAAAUACCACGAGGAAAUCAGGAGGAGCUCUGAAAGAUUAUUAAAGGAAAAACUACUUGAGAAAUUCCUGAAGGGAUUGCUGAAGAAAACAGUAGAGGAAUUUCUGAAAGAAUCUCUUAAAUAAUGUUUGCAAAGUUCUUUACAGAAAUUGAAGAUAUAGGUUCUGGAGGAUUUCUUAGGAAAGUUUACUUGCGCAGCAUGCUUGCCUGGUACUCAUGUGAAUUCUUGUUGUAGCGAUACGUUACGUCUGGGACAAAUGUGGCCUAUGCUGUGGGCUCAUACUGACGACAAAACGGAGCAUAGUUAGUGAGUAGCAUAAACACAAACAUAAACACAACAUAAAUCGAACCAUUGUCCACAGAUUCCCAGAAGAAGGCGCAAUAUAGCGACCGAAACGUCGGAUGAAAGCUUAAAAAUCCGUUUUUGAGUUAUUCCUCCAAAGACUGAACGCCAUUCCCCUUCCAACAUAAUCACCAACAGUCGAAAUUCGAAGAAAGUUAAACAUGGCAAGUUUCUUUCAACGACUGGACAAUGAAUUCGGAUCCGGGACCAGAACACUGUUCAAAGAUUACGCCACGCAGAAUCGAAAACUCGGAAACAUGGUGACAAGAAAGGACUUCCUUCUCAGAUGCAGGAGAACGGGGGUGUUUCCAACGCACAUAACAAACGUCUUCAGGUGCGUCUUUCCGUUAAUCGAAGACAACAGUCCGUACCUCCACGAACUGGAACGACACGUCGCCCGAUUCAAGAAGGCAAUCUUGAACGUCGAAAUCAAACACACCUUCCAUACAGUGAAACAGCUCAAGCGAAAUCUUUCCGAUCUUAAGAUUCGGAUCAGCCACGCAGUGCCGGAGAACGAAAGCAAAACCUUCUUCGAGAAUCAAGAUUCGUUCCUCGAACGGCACAUCAGCACAAGCUCAAGUAGGACAGACAGGAAGUAUCAAAGUAUCAUCGAUCGCUCGUUGGAGGCGACCGCCAAUCGGAUGCCGAGCCACAACACGAAAGCGAUACUCAACAGCACUGACGUCACGAUUCCAAAAGACGUCGAGCUGCUUCUUAGUAUGGGGUCAAGGUUUGCGAUUCCAUACACAGACAUCAAUGAACUUCCUAUCUACCACUUGAUAGCGGACGUGGAGAACAUCAUCCAAACCAACCACGGGGAAGAGUUCCAAGAACGCAACAGGUGCGCGGUUGCGAAUCUCAUCCAGAACUUUCUCCACGCAGAGAGAGGAAAGGGGAGACACGAUGCGGCGACCAAUUUCUACAGGAGCACCACCAAAACGACGAGAGCGUUCCUAAAAGAACACCCAGAAUUGGUCAUAGCCGAGGCGGACAAGGGGAACAGAACAGUGGUGAUGAAACGGGACGAAUACGAAGGCAAAAUGCAACGCAUGAUCGACGAUGACGACACGUACCUAAAACUCAACCGCGAUCCAACGGCGGGGUACCAAAAGCGUAACAACAAUUUCGCCAAACGCCUGGCGGAUCUGAAACUCAUCGAUCGUGUCACCGAGAAAAGGAUGAAAACCUACAAAGCGACAGCUCCCCGAAUAUACGGCGCCCCAAAAGCGCACAAGGAGGGACUACCACUGAGACCGGUGGUACCGUGCAUGACGUCACCGUCGUACACACUGUCGCAGUACGUAGGCAAGAUCAUCCAAAAAUCCAUCACCGGCAAGUAUGAUGCGACAGACUCGUUCACGUUCUGCGAAUACAUCAACAGUGUGCAGUUGCCGCCGGAUUACGUCCUGAUUUCCUUGGACGUCGUAUCGUUGUUCACCUGCAUCCCCAAAGACUUGGUAAUACGUGACGUCAUCAACAACUGGGAAAACAUCAAGCAACACACCGAUAUAAACCUGGACCUGUUCUUGGAGAUGACCGAAUUCUGUAUCGAUUGCAGCUACUUCCGGUUCAAGGGACAGUUUUACCAACAAGUCUUCGGCACAGCGAUGGGCAACCCAUUAUCACCCACCAUCGCGGAUCUAGUGAUGGAGACAUUGCUAGACAACGUCGUGACGAGAGUGAGCUUCCCGUUCCCAGUGUUGAAGAAGUAUGUGGACGACCUGAUGCUGGCAGUUCCCAAGGACAAGAUCGAAGAGGUGAGAACAAUUUUCAACAGCUACCAUGAGAAAAUUCAGUUCACGGUGGAAGUCGAACAAGAAGGGAAAAUUCCGUUUCUAGACUUGCUCUUGGUUCGACAGUCAGACCAAACGAUCAAAACAGAGUGGUAUAUUAAGCCGAUCGCCUCAGGGCGUUUCCUGAAUUACCACUCCGCCCACAGCACAAAACAGAAGGUGAACGUGGCGAACAAUUUCAUUCACCGCGUCAAGACCUUCUCUACCAACGUCGAACCAAGUGCAACACGUGACAUCAUUUUCACCCAACUAAAACGGAACGAUUACCCCACUGCAAUGAUAAACCGCCUCAUCGAUCGAUCGAGGGAACGACAGGUUAACACCACCAAUGAUGACGUCACGAGCAGCGAGGAGAUGAUUUACCGAUCGAUGGUACAUGUAGGACAGUUAUCAGGAAACAUCCAAAAAGUCCUGAGGAAGGACUAUCCGAAUGUCACCAUCAGCUCGAAGAAUGCGAAAACUGUAGGAAAUCUUCUGCCUCCGGUAAAAGACGUUGUGGACAAGAACAGUAGAUCAAACGUGAUUUACAACAUCCCAUGUGCUAACUGCUCCGCGUGCUACGUAGGCAUGACAUCAAACAAACUACAAACGAGGAUCUCCAGUCACCGCUCCUGUUCCAACCGGCUGGAAAACAUGUGGGACCAAGGGAAGACGACGGAGGACGUGGAGGUAGCACAGCUACGAGAACGAACAGCGCUGCUAGAUCACUCGGCUGCCAACCGCCAUGUCUUCGCUUUCGAUCGUACACGAAUCGUGGAUGCUAGUCUUAAGAAACAAAACUUACACAUACUAGAAACAUGUCAUAUUAUAAACACACCGAACACAGUGAACAAGCGCACCGAUACAGACAAUCUGAGCAAUACGUACGCCGGCGUACUACACACUUUAAAAAACAAUACACGAAGUCAGGCCGUCCAACAGGCAAACGAAUCGGUACAACAAGAGUUAACACAAACAGAGUAAAAGUGGCGCCAAAACGGGCAACUGCAUCGCUGUUCUGCGACCCGGAUAGUUUUUUCGGAUAUUUUUCGGAUAUUUUAUCCCAUCCAUCCGCCGGCGGCGGCAGAGUAAGUAAAACCAGACGGAAAGUUUACUUGCGCAGCAUGCUUGCCUGGUACUCAUGUGAAUUCUUGUUGUAGCGAUACGUUACGUCUGGGACAAAUGUGGCCUAUGCUGUGGGCUCAUACUGACGACAAAACGGAGCAUAGUUAAUUCCCAGAAGAAGGCGCAAUAUAGCGACCGAAACGUCGGAUGAAAGCUUAAAAAUCCGUUUUUGAGUUAUUCCUCCAAAGACUGAACGCCAUUCCCCUUCCAACAUAAUCA